UGCAAAUGAUGCUUUAUCUCACGAUGGUCUUCUGAACCUUGGGUUGUGAGGACAGUGCCAAAUGGCUUUACUGAUGCUUCCCA